rnacentral:tRNA from 1 species
GGGCCCGUAGCUCAACUGGCAGAGCAACGGCCUUUUAAGCCGUUGGUUCAGGGUUCGAGUCCCUGCGGGCUCA